rnacentral:rRNA from 1 species
UACGGAGGGUGCGAGCGUUGUCCGGAAUCACUGGGCGUAAAGGGCGCGUAGGCGGCAUGCCAAGCGUGUGGUGAAAGCCCGGGGCUCAACCCCGGGUCGGCCGUGCGGACUGGCGUGCUCGAGCACUGUAGGGGCGGGUGGAAUUCCGGGUGUAGCGGUGGAAUGCGCAGAUAUCAGGAGGAACACCGAUGGCGAAGGCAGUGUUCUGGGCCAGUACUGACGCUGAGGAGCGAAAGCGUGGGGAGCAAACAGG